GGAUGUUAAGGGUAUUUAUCUACUACAUUUGUCAGCACAUUGAUCUUCCAUGGUAGAGUCAGCUGAUCUGACUGGCUAGGCAGGGUGCCCUUCCUGCCUUACCAUUUCAUGUGUGUUCCCUUCCAAAGCUGUAUGCUUGGGUGAGAGGACAACCUUGCCUGGUAGGUAGCCUUGGACCAUUUUUCCAUCAAGGGUGCAUGAAUAGCUGCACUCCUCUCCUAGAACCUACAAAUAGCUCUCAAGAAAACAUGAAGUGAAAGAAGAGUUGGGACAGAAAGGAGUUAGCACUUACUAGAUAUUACCACUCCUCU
rnacentral:snRNA from 1 species